rnacentral:rRNA from 1 species
GACGAACGCUGGCGGCGUGCCUAAUACAUGCAAGUUGAGCGCUGAAGGUUGGUACUUGUACCAACUGGAUGAGCAGCGAACGGGUGAGUAACGCGUGGGGAAUCUGCCUUUGAGCGGGGGACAACAUUUGGAAACGAAUGCUAAUACCGCAUAAAAACUUUAAACACAAGUUUUAAGUUUGAAAGAUGCAAUUGCAUCACUCAAAGAUGAUCCCGCGUUGUAUUAGCUAGUUGGUGAGGUAAAGGCUCACCAAGGCGAUGAUACAUAGCCGACCUGAGAGGGUGAUCGGCCACAUUGGGACUGAGACACGGCCCAAACUCCUACGGGAGGCAGCAGGAGGGGAUCUUCGGCAAUGGACGAAAGUCUGACCGAGCAACGCCGCGGGAGUGAAGAAGGUUUUCGGAUCGGAAAACUCUGUUGGUAGAGAAGAACGUUGGUGAGAGUGGAAAGCUCAUCAAGUGACGGUAACUACACAGAAAGGGACGGCUAACUACGUG